rnacentral:lncRNA from 1 species
GAAGGAACUGCAGCUUUCACUUCCUCAGAAUUAGUAGAGGCUGACGGACGUCCAGCAAUGGUGGUUAUUUCAUGAGAGCUUAACUUCAUCGCCUGCACAUUGCUGCGUCGCUCAAACUCCGACUUCAUUGACAUUUCUCUAACUGCUGCCGGUACAGGAGGUAAUUUAAAUUCUUUACGCUGGCUCUCUGAUGAACUGGUUGAUAAUGCCCCCAACCUGUUGACAUCAAUUGGGGUAGAGCAUGAUUUACGCGAAGAACCUGUUGCAUUAAUGAACAGGGCAUGAAUUGACAGGUAAAUAAGCUGAGUAAGAAUUCCUCUCUGUCUAUUUUUUUUGUGUGUGCGAAAGCAUCCAUGCAAGAGAGAAAUUGGAUGAGCUAGAAAAAAAAACACAAAAGCAGCUUUGUUUUCUUUUGUAGCACCUGAUAAAUCACUCAUAUUCAGACUCAGCAGUGGAUUGCCAUCAUAUGAUGAUUCUGGGUCUUCGCUUCCACGACAAGCACAGUAGCACAGACAUAUAAGAGCCACCAAUGC